UACAGAGGGUGCAAGCGUUGUUCGGAAUUAUUGGGCGUAAAGCGCGCGUAGGCGCCCGGUAAGUCCGCUCUGAAAGUCCAGGGCUCAACCCUGGAAAGCGGGUGGAUACUGCCGGGCUAGAAUCCGGAAGAGGCGAGUGGAAUUCCUGGUGUAGCGGUGGAAAUGCGCAGAUAUCAGGAGGAACACCAGUAGCGAAGGCGGCUCGU
rnacentral:rRNA from 1 species